GGCCUCGUAGCUCAGUUGGCUAGGGCGUUGGCCUUCCCCUUGCUGGCGUGGGUUCGAAUUCCACCGAGACUG
rfam:Schistocephalus solidus strain NST_G2 genome assembly, scaffold: SSLN_scaffold0001141